UACGGGGGGAGCAAGCGUUGUUCGGAUUUACUGGGCGUAAAGGGCGCGUAGGCGGUCGUGACAAGUCACUUGUGAAAUCUCCGGGCUUAACUCGGAACGGUCAAGUGAUACUGUCGGACUAGAGUACAGAAGGGGCAACUGGAAUUCUCGGUGUAGCGGUGAAAUGCGUAGAUAUCGAGAGGAACACCUGCGGCGAAGGCGGGUUGCUGGGCUGAUACUGACGCUGAGGCGCGAAAGCAUGGGGAGCAAACAGG
rnacentral:rRNA from 1 species